rnacentral:misc_RNA from 1 species
CGUGGAAUUGCGUUUUUUGGCCA